ensembl:lncRNA
ACACACACACACACACACAACGUAAAGUCACAGAGCGGGGUCAACGACUGCUAAGGCACCUGGUGAGUAAAGCACAACGCCACUGGACUGUGGAGUGACCAAUCACGCUUCUCUGUUUGGCAGUCAGAUGGGCGAGUCUGAUUAACACACACACAAACACACGCUAACCACCAUAUGAUUAACACACACACACACACACACGCUAACCACCACAUAGAUAACAGGAUACACACACACACACACACGCUCACCACCACAUAGAUAACAUGACACACACUCACACGCUAACCACCACAUAGAUAACAUGAUUAACACACACACACACACACACGCUCACCACCACAUAGAUAACAGGAUACACACACACACACACACGCUCACCACCACAUAGAUAACAUGAUACACACACACACGCUAACCACCACAUAAAUAACAUGAUACACACACACACACACACACACACGCUAACCACCACAUGAUUAACACACACACGCUAACCACCACAUAGAUAACAGGAUACACACACACACACACACACACACAGUAACCACCACAUGGCUAACAUGAUACACACACACACACACGCUCCUCUUCACGUGCAGGUUCUUAAGCCUGGAAUAGUCCUAGAGGGUGGGGGGGGGGCCUAGGGCUGGAAAUGGACUCAGAGUGCCGGAGAGGGGGGAGGGGGGGGGGCACAACCUGUGAGCCAGUGAGUCCGCAAACAACUGCCCCAUCAAGCCUGUCCACACUCCUGCCUAUAGGCCCCACGACAGGCCCAGACUAGUGUCCACCCCCCUGCCUAUAUACUCCCAUGACUGCUCUUAUAUGGAGGUCUCCACACAUGGCAUGGUGUGCCUUACCCCCCCCCCGGACUCCACGGACAGAGAGGCGUGUGGGGAGCAGGAUGUUACCACCAUACACACAGCAGAGGGAAAGGAAGAGGACUGCUGAGAGAGAAGAGUUGGUGGAGCGCUGAGAGAGAAGAGUCCGGAACGCUGAGAGAGAAGAGUCCGGAGCGCUGAGAGAGAAGAGUCCGGAGCGCUGAGAGAGAAGAGUCCGGAACGCUGAGAGAGAAGAGUCCGGAGCGCUGAGGGAGAAGAGUCCGGAACGCUGAGAGAGAAGAGUUGGUGGAGCGCUGAGAGAGAAGAGUCCGGAACGCUGAGAGAGAAGAGUCCGGAACACUGAAGAGUGGCUGAACAGUCUAUUGAGCUGUAGGGCAGCUGUUCUAUCCCAGGAGUUCCUGCUUCCUGUCGCGGGACAUCAUGAGGAGUGUGACGCUGCUGCUUCUUCUGGCUCUGGGGGCUCAUCUGUGUGCUGCUGCACCCCUCAGCCUUGGGGGGAGAGGGGCAGACAGUGCUGGUUAUGCAGCUAAGGAAGCCCCUGAAGAAACCCUCUCACUGGAGAGCCAGCCAGCCGCUGCAGACGGACCACAACUGGCACCAGAAGAACCAGUUCCUGAAGAACCAGCUGCAGAAGAAACUGUUGUGGUUGCGGCAGCACCUGAAGAGCCGACUGUAGAGGAAGUUGCCCCAGAGGAGGCUGCUCCUGUGGAGGAUGCUGAGGAGGAGGUGGUGGUCAUCCCAGAGGAAACUGCCCCUGAGGAGGAAGAGGCUGCCCCUGAGGAGGAAGAAGCUGCCCCUGAGGAGGAGGAAGCUGCCCCCAAGGAAGAAGACGCUGCCCCUGAGGAAGAAACUGCCCCUGAGGAAGAAGACGCCCCUGAGGAGGAGGAAACUGCCCCUGAGGAGGAGGUGGUGGUCAUCCCAGUAGAAUCUGCCCCUGAGGAAGAAGAAGUUGCCCCUGAGGAAGAAGCUGCCCCUGAGGAGGAAGAAGCUGCCCCUGAGGAGGAGGAAACUGCCCCUGAGGAGGAGGUGGUGAUCAUCCCAGUAGAAUAUGCCCCUGAGGAGGAAACUGCCCCUGAGGAAGAAGAAGUUGCCCCUGAAGAGGAGGAAGCUGAUCCUGAGGAGGAAACUGCCCCUGAGGAGGAGGUGGUGGUCAUCCCAGUAGAAGCUGCCCCUGAAGAGGAAGAAGUUGCCCCUAAGGAGGAAGAAGCUGCCCCUGAGGAAGAAGGAGUUGCCCCUGAGGAAGAAGGAGUUGCCCCUGAGGAAGAAGAAGUUGCCCCUGAAGAGGAAGAAGCUGCCCCUGAGGAGGAAACUGCCCCUGAGGAGGAAACUGCCCCUGAGGAGGAGGUGGUGGUCAUCCCAGUAGAAGCUGCCCCUGAAGAGGAAGAAGUUGCCCCUGAGGAGGAAGAAGCUGCCCCUGAAGAGGAAGAAGUUGCCCCUGAGGAGAAGGAAACUGCCCCUGAGGAAGAAGAAGUUGCCCCUGAGGAGGAGGUGGUGGUCAUCCCAGUAGAAGCUGCCCCUGAGGAGGAGGAAGCUGCCCCUGAGGAGGAGGUGGUGGUCAUCCCAGUAGAAGCGGCCCCUGAGGAGGAAGAAGCUGCCCCUGAAGUUGCCCCAGUUGUUGCAUUAGAUACAGAGGAAGAAGAAGCUGCUCCGGAGGGAACUGUGGAAGAGGAAGUUGCCCCAGUUGUUCCAGCUGAAGAGGAAGCUUCAGAGGGUGUUGUUGCGGCAGAAGCAGAGGAGGAAGCAGCUGCUCUGGAGGAAACUCUAGAAGAAGAAACUGCCCCAGAGGAAACUCUAGAAGAAGAAACUGCCCCAGAGGAAACCGCUGAAGAGGAAACUGCCCCAGAGGAAACAGCUGAAGAGGAAGCUGGCUCAGAGGACGUCGUUGCAGUGGCUCCUCCAGAAACUGUGGAAGAGGAGGCUGUGUCCGAGGACGUUGCUGAAGAGGAACCUGCUGCAGAGGAAGAAGUGGCUCCUGUUCCAGUCGACGUAGUUGAUGAGGAACCAGCACCAGAAGAACCUGCCCCAGAAGAACCCGCCCCAGAAGAACCCGCCCCAGAAGAACAUGCCCCAGACGAACCUGCCCCAGAAGAACCUGCCCCUGAGGGAGAGUCAGAGGAGGGAGAGUCAGAGGAGGGAGGUGAAGGUGCUGUUCUAGUAGAUACCCAGGAAGAACCAGCCGCUGAAGAGGAGACUGUUGGAGAAGAAACUGCACCUGAGGUCGCUGUUGAAGAGGAAGCUAGCCCUGAAGAUGUUCUUCCGGACGAACCUGCCCCAGCAGAAACAGCUCCUGUCGAGGAACCUGUUCCUGUUCCAGACUGCGCAAAGUGUCCAGGGUGUCCAACGAUAGAAACAGUCAACGUGGAGGAGGAGGUGGUGGUGGUGGUGGUGGUUCCCAUGGCAACUGAGUCUCCUGAGGAAGAGCCGGGCUCCCCCACUCCUCUGGAACGGGAGGCACCUGAGGGGAAGGCAGGGGGAGUAAGCAGGGGUCUGCUAUUGGGCUCCGCCUUCAUGGGGCUGCUGUCACUCAUGGCCGUGGGAUCAGCAGGAAGGGCCAUCUCCAGGAAGCUGCGCUGAAGCCUGGUCUAGCCUGCUGUAUGGAUUCCCUGAUGAGCUGGAGACUGAAGGCCUGAUAACAGCUCUGGAGUGACCCUGUAGACUCACUCUCACACACACUCACACACACACACACACACACACACACAUACACACUCACACACAAACACACACACACACACUCACACACACACACACUCACACUCACACUCACACACACACAAUCACACACAAUCACACACACACUCACACACACACACACACACACACACUUACACACACACACACACACACACACACACACACACACACACACACCCAACACACACUCACACUGUUUAUUCCUACUUCCAACCUUUCCAGGACCUUAUAGUUCUGGGCAUACCACAAACCUCCUGCCCCAGCUGGGAAGUUUAUGUACACACAUGCGCAAACACACACACAAACACACACUCACACAUGCGCAAAC